rnacentral:tRNA from 1 species
GCUCACAUAGAUCAGUCGGCAGAGCGUCGCCUUGGUAAGGCGGAGGUCCCCGGUUCGAUCCCGGGUGUGAGCUCCA